rnacentral:tRNA from 1 species
GCUUGUCUAGCUCAGUUGGCAGAGCACAAGGCUCUUAACCUUAAGGUUGUGGGUUCGAGCCCCAUCGUGAACA